rnacentral:rRNA from 1 species
UAGGGAAUCUUCCGCAAUGGACGCAAGUCUGACGGAGCAACGCCGCGUGAGUGAAGAAGGAUUUCGGUUCGUAAAACUCUGUUGUUAGAGAAGAACAGCGCAUAGAGUAACUGUUAUGCGUGUGACGGUAUCUAACCAGAAAGCCACGGCUAACUACGUGCCAGCAGCCGCGGUAAUACGUAGGUGGCAAGCGUUGUCCGGAUUUAUUGGGCGUAAAGCGAGCGCAGGCGGUCAAUUAAGUCUGAUGUGAAAGCCCCCGGCUCAACCGGGGAGGGUCAUUGGAAACUGGUUGAUUUGAGUGCAGAAGAGGAGAGAGGAGUUCCAUGUGUAGCGGUGAAAUGCGUAGAUAUAUGGAGGAACACCAGUGGCGAAGGCGACUCUCUGGUCUGUAACUGACGCUGAGGCUCGAAAGCGUGGGUAGCAAACAGG